AGUGAACGCUGGCGGUAGGCCUAACACAUGCAAGUCGAACGGCAGCACAGUAAGAGCUUGCUCUUACGGGGGGCCAGUGGCGGACGGGUGAGGAAAACAUCGUAAUCUACUUUUUGGUGGGGCUUAAGGUAGGGAAACUUACGCCAAUACCGCAGCCCACCUUCGGUGGAAAGGGUGGGAUCUUUGGACCUUGCGCGGUUGAAUGAGCCGAUGUUGGAUUAGCUAGUUGGCGGGGUACAGGCCCACCAUGGCGACGAUCCGUAGCUGGUGUGAGAGGAUGGUCAGCCACAGUGGAAGUGAGACGCGAUCCAGACACUUACGGGAGGCAGCGGUGGCGAAUAUUGGAAGAUGGGCGGAAGAUUGCACCAGCCAUGCCGGGUGGAUGAAGAAAGCCCUCGGGUUGUAAAGCCCUUUUGUGGGGAAAGAAAGGCAGCAGGUUAAUACCCCGCUGUUCGGCCGGUACCGAUAGAAUAAGCACCGGCUACUUUGGU
rnacentral:rRNA from 1 species